GUGCGGCCUUCCCCUCAGGAGUGCGGGGCUGUGGGGCGGGGAGGGCCCCGGGAAGGCCGCAGCUCCGGGGGGGCCGUGGCUGAGGGAAACGCGGCGGAGGGGGCCGGUCCUGGGCCUCACUUGGGAAGUGGGGGGGUGGGGGGGUCGCAGACAUUGUGGUACGAGCUGUGAGCUGGGGCUGUGUUGGGGGAGCAGCGGUGUCUGAGUGACCCCGGUGGGCGCAGCGUGGGGGGAAACGGCGCAUUUUUGUAGUGAAAGUGACGCUUUGGUUUGGAAACAUGGAAAGCCACACAGUGACACAACGUGCCUUUAAUGCACCGCAUCUGAAAAACGACCCCCAAACGUAACCCCCUGAGAACAUAACCCUCAGUAUCACUCGUCUCGGGGUCACGGGUCCCUGAAGUGCUGCAGGCCCCCCCAUAGCCAACACGGAUCCACACAUCACCACCCAGAGCCCGAUACAACAGCCCCACCCGGCCCUGGGGCAGCUCAGAGCCCCCAAGGCCCAUCGUGCACUACAGAACCCCAACCUGGGGCUGCAGACAUCGCUCUGUGCAGUGGAAAUGAGGACUGGGGAAAUAACAGCACUUGGACUUGGUUCAGGUGUAAAACAGCACAAUUUGGGGGUUCUGGGUGUAGGUCCUGCUGUCAGACGUGGGACCUGCCAGUCGCAAAUUGGAUUGUUUUCCAUUUAUACGAGUGGAGGAUUUGUUUUGUUAUAAGAAAAUGCUCUGUUGAAACAGGUUUGCUGACAAAUGUCCGCGUUGCUCUAUUAGCUCCUGCACUCUGGAGCUUUGCAUUUCAUACACUGCUGUAUUUCUGGGCUGGGAGCUUUAUUUCCAUGUACCUCAGUGCUGUGUUCAGCUCUGGGCCCCUCGCAGGAAGGACACCGAGGUCCUGGAGUGUGUGCAGAGAAGGGCCUGGAGCUGUGAGGAGUGUGAGCACAGAGGGGAGCGGCUGAGGGAGCAGGGAUGGGUCAGCGUGGAGGAGAGGAGCUCAGAGAGACCUUAUUGCUCUCUACAACACUCUGAAAGGAGGCAGUGAGUGCACGCCACAGCUGAACGUCUAAUGAUAGUCAAACCUGCGUGCCCUGCACCUAUCUGGUUGUUAGAGCAGCGUUUUCAGGGAGCCGGACUGCUGCUGCAGCGCUUCCUGCCUGAAGAGCGGCUGGAAGCGGAGUCGGGUAUCGCAGUCCCCCGCUGGGGACGGGGUGCUUCGGCAGGCGCUGGAAGUCUGCGCUGCUGCUAAGUGUGAGUGCGGGAGGUGGGGUCGGACCCUGCAGGGAGACAAACCGCUCCGGAACACCUGCGGUGGGGAUUAGGAGCAAUUAGUGUGCGUUAAGACUCCUUCAUUAGGCAGAAUGUGGCAUAAAGUUGGUAGAAUCAAAGCAGGGUCGGGGAGCUGAUGGGUAUGGAGGGAGCGGUGGUGCUCUGAGCGGGGGGAGAGGCUGCUGUGUCUGUAAGUGCCAUUGUUGAAGUGUUUGCAGGUAACUCUGAACAAAGGGCUGUUCGUAUGAAUUCAAUGUAACCAGUUUGGGGUCAGUGGGUGCAGGACGGCCUCGGUGAGCACUGGACUGGUCACGGACAUCCCUUAGUAACACCCGGGCUGCUACAUUUCUCUGACAAUUUCCUUGUGUGGGUUUCUCCCCCUCCAGGUGCCGAGGGCUGCGUGCUGCCCGGCUCACCGCGCUGCCCCGGGGUCACUGCUGCCGGAGUGGGACACGCAGCUGUCCGGGAGGAGCCGAGUCCGCCCCGUGCAGCGCUGCGGGGCUCCAGGUGGAGCAGGAGGCCUCAGCGGGCUGCUGCUUCUCUCCCCGAGCAAUGACUCCUAACGAGUGAGAUCCCAAUUAACUCAGCCCGCUCCUAACGAGUGAGAUCCCAAUUAACUCAGCCCGCUCCAACACAAGGAGCAGCAGCAGAGCCCCCGCAGCCACCCCAGCGCUGCCGCUGCCCGGUGGUGUCAUGGCAGAGGGAAGGGAAAAGGAGACUGCGAGGCUCCUGGGCAGCACCCCUGCGGUACUCUCCUGUCCUUCCCACAGCUGGUGGCAGUGUUUGCCCCGAGCGGAUUUUUUGGCCAAGCCUAUGCUAAAACCUGCCUGGAGCCCCACAGCAGCCCCACGCCAUCUUCCCCUUCCCCGGAGCUGACGUUUGUUAUGAAAUAAACCUGCCCCCGUAGGUACCGAGCAGGCUGCCUCCUCUGCGAGAUGUGUUCC
ensembl:lncRNA